CCUACGGGAGGCAGCAGUGGGGAAUAUUGGACAAUGGGCGCAAGCCUGAUCCAGCCAUGCCGCGUGGGUGAAGAAGGCCCUAGGGUUGUAAACCCCUUUCAGCGGGGAAGAUAAUGACGGUACCCGCAGAAGAAGCCCCGGCUAACUCUGUGCCAGCAGCCGCGGUAAU
rnacentral:rRNA from 1 species